GGGUCAUAACUCAGUGGGAGAGCAUCUGCUUUGCAUGCAGAAGGUUGCAGGUUCAGUCCCUGGAGAUAUCU